GUGGGGGAAAUGUUACCUAGGGGCCCCCAGUUCUCCUUCCCCUCAGCCCCGGCCUUCCCGCUGCUCCUCAGAGUACUUUCGGCCUUGGCGAAAUACUUUCAAAUCAAACUUAAAGCCUCAAAAAGAAAUAAAAAGGAAAAAAACAAAAACAAAAAACAGGAGAGCCAACAACGCUCAAGAACCCUUUUUCUCUGGAUUCCUUGCGUCUGGACAGCCCUCACCUCAGCGGGUCGACGCUUUCAUGUGAAGGGGGCACUCAACCGUCUUUUCCGGCCCAAACCCGCCUCCGGGCUUAUGAAUAAUCAACGAGGCUUUUUUGGGCGGGGCGAUGCGCUUCAUGAAUAAUUCAUUAUUUCUCCAGCUUGCCUGGGCGGCCCGCCCCUCUCGGUCUCAUGAAUAUGCAAAAAGAGGCGAGCUGUGGCUAACACAACCUGGGCCAGCCUGGCUCCCUCUCCGCCCCGCCUCCCUGACCCGCGGGGCGGGCGGUGGUUACCAGACCACCUGCCUUCGGGCGGCCGGCGCUGCGUCUCUGAUGCCGCGUUUCCCGCCCUUCCGAGGGCUCGCCGGGCGCUUACGGGCCUGAAGGACCCGCGCCGAGCUCGAGUCACCGCACGCGGACCCUGACUGUGCUGUCGGCUCGGGACCGCCCUGCCGGGGCACCAUUUACGUCGAGGACAACCUUCUGCGGGCCUUCGAAGGAGACGCCUGCCCGCUGAGCACUGCAAAAUUAAAGCCAAGACCAAGGUCUUACUUUCCUGGAUCUGGCAUCUGUGUGCACAGCAAUCGCAGAGACUGAAAACUUCUCCGAAUUGAAUGAAUAUUUGCCAUCCCCAUAAACACAACUUCACAGUUCGGGUAAUACUCUGGAGAGAAUACAAUAAAGAAAACACAAAUAUGUUGAAUUCUAA